rnacentral:rRNA from 1 species
CCUACGGGAGGCAGCAGUGGGGAAUUUUGGACAAUGGGGGCAACCCUGAUCCAGCAAUGCCGCGUGAGUGAAGAAGGCCUUCGGGUUGUAAAGCUCUUUUGUCAGGGAAGAAACAGCAGCUCUAACACAGACUGCGAAUGACGGUACCUGAAGAAUAAGCACCGGCUAACUACGUGCCAGCAGCCGCGGUAAUACGUAGGGUGCGAGCGUUAAUCGGAAUUACUGGGCGUAAAGCGUGCGCAGGCGGUUAUACAAGACAGGCGUGAAAUCCCCGGGCUUAACCUGGGAAUGGCGUCUGUGACUGUAUAGCUAGAGUGUGUCAGAGGGGGGUGGAAUUCCACGUGUAGCAGUGAAAUGCGUAGAUAUGUGGAGGAACACCAAUGGCGAAGGCAGCCCCCUGGGAUAACACUGACGCUCAUGCACGAAAGCGUGGGGAGCAAACAGGAUUAGAUACCCUGGUAGUCCACGCCCUAAACGAUGCUGACUAGUUGUUGGGAAUUUACAUUCUCAGUAACGUAGCUAACGCGUGAAGUCAGCCGCCUGGGGAGUCGGUCGCAAGNUUAAAACGUCAAAUGAAAUUGACCGGNUAGAGAGNGCGACGGACGACGACGAGGGAGAGG